rnacentral:rRNA from 1 species
GACGAACGCUGGCGGCGUGCCUAACACAUGCAAGUCGAACGGAAAGGCCCUUUUGGGGGUACCCGCACGGCAAACUGGUGAGUACCACGGGGGUAAUCUCCCCUUGAUUUCCGGAUUACUUCAGGGAACUGGCGAUAAUACAGGAUAGCAAUCCCUGCAGCAUGGUGGGGGUUGGAAAGUUUCGGCGGUUUGGGUUCGACUGGAGGCUUAUCAGCUUGUUGGUCGGGUAGUGGGCUACGAAGGCUUUGACGGGCAGCCGGCCUUAGAGAGAGAUCGGCGACAUUAGGACUGAGGGAGGGACCAGACUCCUACGGGAGGCAACGGAGGGGAGUAGUGCACAAUGAGCGCGAGCCUGAUGCGACGACGCCGCGAGCGGGAGGACGGGCUUCGGGUGGUAAACCGCUUUCAGCAGGGGAAAAGCACAUGGUGACGGUACCUGCAGAAAAAGCGACGGCUAACUACGUG